GGGGAUUUAGCUCAGCGGUAGAGCGCUUGCCUAGCAAGCACAAGGCCCUGGGUUCGGUCCCCAGCUCCG
rfam:Rattus norvegicus chromosome X, whole genome shotgun sequence.